UUAGAGUUUGAUCCUGGCUCAGGAUGAACGCUAGCUACAGGCUUAACACAUGCAAGUCGAGGGGCAGCAUGUUGGUUGCUUGCAACCAACGAUGGCGACCGGCGCACGGGUGAGUAACGCGUAUCCAACCUACCCUUGUCCAUCGGAUAACCCGUCGAAAGGCGGCCUAACACGAUAUGCGGUUCACAGCAGGCAUCUAACGUGAACGAAAUGUGAAGGAGAAGGAUGGGGAUGCGUCUGAUUAGCUUGUUGGUGGGGUAACGGCCCACCAAGGCGACGAUCAGUAGGGGUUCUGAGAGGAAGGUCCCCCACAUUGGAACUGAGACACGGUCCAAACUCCUACGGGAGGCAGCAGUGAGGAAUAUUGGUCAAUGGACGAGAGUCUGAACCAGCCAAGUAGCGUGCAGGAAGACGGCCCUAUGGGUUGUAAACUGCUUUUAUAGGGGGAUAAAGUGUGCCACGUGUGGCAUAUUGCAGGUACCCUAUGAAUAAGGACCGGCUAAUUCCGUGCCAGCAGCCGCGGUAAUACGGAAGGUCCAGGCGUUAUCCGGAUUUAUUGGGUUUAAAGGGAGCGUAGGCCGUUUGGUAAGCGUGUUGUGAAAUGUCGGGGCUCAACCUGGGCAUUGCAGCGCGAACUGCCAGACUUGAGUGCGCAGGAAGUAGGCGGAAUUCGUCGUGUAGCGGUGAAAUGCUUAGAUAUGACGAAGAACUCCGAUUGCGAAGGCAGCCUGCUGUAGCGCAACUGACGCUGAAGCUCGAAAGCGUGGGUAUCGAACAGUAUUAGAUACCCUGGUAGUCCACGCGGUAAACGAUGGAUGCUCGCUGUUUGCGUCUGACGUAAGC
rnacentral:rRNA from 1 species